UACGAAGGGUGCAAGCGUUGUUCGGAAUUACUGGGCGUAAAGCGCGCGUAGGCGGCUUGUUAAGUCGGAUGUGAAAUCCCCGGGCUCAACCUGGGAACUGCAUCCGAUACUGGCGAGCUAGAGUGCGAUAGAGGGGGGUAGAAUUCCUAGUGUAGCGGUGAAAUGCGUAGAUAUUAGGAGGAAUACCGGUGGCGAAGGCGGCCCCCUGGAUCGACACUGACGCUGAGGUGCGAAAGCGUGGGUAGCAAACAGG
rnacentral:rRNA from 1 species